AAGUCGUAACAAGGUCUCCGUUGGUGAACCAGCGGAGGGAUCAUUACAGAGUGUAAAAACUCCCAAAACCCAUGUGAACAUACCUUUUUGUUGCUUCGGCGGGAUCGCCCCGGGCGCCUUGUGUGCCCCGGAGUCAGGAGCCCGCCGGGGGACCCAAACUCUUGUUUUUAACGAGUAUCUUCUGAGUAACGUUUUUAAAUAAAUAAAAACUUUCAACAACGGAUCUCUUGGUUCUG
rnacentral:misc_RNA from 1 species